rnacentral:rRNA from 1 species
UUACGGGAGGCAGCAGUAGGGAAUAUUGCACAAUGGGCGCAAGCCUGAUGCAGCAACGCCGCGUGCACGAGGAAGGCCUUCGGGUCGUAAAGUGCUUUUCUGGAGGAUGAGGAAGGACAGUACUCCAGGAAUAAGUCUCGGCUAACUACGUGCCAGCAGCCGCGGUAAAACGUAGGAGACAAGCGUUAUCCGAAUUUACUGGGCGUAAAGCGCAUGCAGGUGGUUCGGUAAGUGGCGUGUGAAAUCUCCUGGCUCAACUGGGAGAGGCCGCGCCAAACUGUCGGACUAGAGGGCGGUAGAGGGAGGUGGAAUUCCCGGUGUAGUGGUGAAAUGCGUAGAUAUCGGGAGGAACACCUGUGGCGAAAGCGGCCUCCUGGACCGUACCUGACGCUCAGAUGCGAAAGCUAGGGGAGCGAACGGGAUUAGAAACCCUAGUAGUCC